AUAACACUUACAUUGUAAGUAACAUCAGGCUUCUCCGAUUGGCUAAGCAGAGAAAUACUGGAAUUAGCCUCAGGUGGCAAAACAUCAACAAACGCAUUUGAAUGGCGAUGCAAGGCCACAGAAGCCGACGGCUUAAGAAGCUCUCGAUUAAUCGUACUUAGUAUCCUAACAUAGUAAUUAGAACCCGUAGUUGAACCUACAAUAGCGUUAUUCUGAUCAAUCAUCUCCAUGAACUGUCCAAUUACUAACGGCACCGAUUGGAUCCUUUUGACUUCUUCCUGUGCCCGUAAAUGUUCUCGUCGGAGGUUUUUGAGCUCGUCCUUAACAUAUUCCUCUUGGAUCUCGAUGAAUUCGAGUUGCCGUUGAAGUGAUUUCAGGCGAGCGUAUAGGUCAUCUUCUCCGUCGGAAGGAACGUCGGUGAUGGAGGUUUCCGGCAGUGUUGCCGGUGGUUUCUCGGCGGGUUUCGGGUCGAGAACCAUCGCUGUUGCCAUUGUUGGAG